ensembl:snoRNA SNORD18 Small nucleolar RNA SNORD18
CAGCUAUGAUGAUGAUUCACUUCUGGUCCGUGUUUCUGACCCCUGAUUAUUUUUGGAAGUCCUGAGCAA